GUGAACUGACUUUCUCUUUCCACAGGGACAUUUUCUCUUUGGGCUUUGGCCCAUUUCGCUGGGUGUGCACGUCUGGUGACCCCCAAGAUCUUGUCGUAACAGAUAAUAUUGCUGCUACUGUCCUGGAGGAAAUAGGUGUCAAUGUGACUGACGGGGUCAGGCAGCAGUACAGUGACAACAUCCGCUGGAUCAGAGAGGCUGGGAAACACAAAAUGGUCGUUGGAUCCCAGGCCAGAAUCCUCUACUCUGACCAGAGAGGAAGAGUCUGCAUUGCUUUGGCGAUAAACCAGG